rnacentral:rRNA from 1 species
ACGAACGCUGGCGGCGUGCUUAACACAUGCAAGUCGAACGGAAAGGCCCUGCUUUUGUGGGGUGCUCGAGUGGCGAACGGGUCAGUAACACGUGAGUAACCUGCCCUUGACUUUGGGAUAACUUCAGGAAACUGGGGCUAAUACCGGAUAGGAGCUCCUGCUGCAUGGUGGGGGUUGGAAAGUUUCGGCGGUUGGGGAUGGACUCGCGGCUUAUCAGCUUGUUGGUGGGGUAGUGGCUUACCAAGGCUUUGACGGGUAGCCGGCCUGAGAGGGUGACCGGCCACAUUGGGACUGAGAUACGGCCCAGACUCCUACGGGAGGCAGCAGUGGGGAAUAUUGCACAAUGGGCGGAAGCCUGAUGCAGCAACGCCGCGUGCGGGAUGACGGCCUUCGGGUUGUAAACCGCUUUCGCCUGUGACGAAGCGUGAGUGACGGUAAUGGGUAAAGAAGCACCGGCUAACUACGUG